GACGUAGGGCGCGAGCGUUGUCCGGAUUUAUUGGGCGUAAAGAGCUCGUAGGCGGCUUGUCGCGUCGACUGUGAAAUCCCGCGGCUCAACUGCGGGUCUGCAGUCGAUACGGGCAGGCUAGAGUUCGGUAGGGGAGACUGGAAUUCCUGGUGUAGCGGUGAAAUGCGCAGAUAUCAGGAGGAACACCGAUGGCGAAGGCAGGUCACUGGGCCGCAACUGACGCUGAGGAGCGAAAGCAUGGGGAGCGAACAGG
rnacentral:rRNA from 1 species